AGCGAACGCUGGCGGCAGGCUUAACACAUGCAAGUCGAGCGGGCACUUCGGUGUCAGCGGCAGACGGGUGAGGAACACGUGGGAACGUACCCUUCGGUUCGGAAUAACGCGGGGAAACUAGCGCUAAUACCGGAUACGCCCCUAUUGGGGAAGGUUUACUGCCGAAGUAUCAGCCCGCGCCUGAUUAGCCAGUUGGUGGGGUAAUGGCCUACCAAGGCGACGAUAAGUAGCUGGUCUGAGAGGCUGAUCAGACACACUGGGGCUGAGACACGGUCCAGACUCUUACGGGAGGCGGCAGUGGGGAAUAUUGGAAAAUGGGCGCAAGGCUGAUCCAGCCAUGCCGCGUGAGUGAUGAAGGCCUUAGGGUUGUAAAGCUCUUUUGUCCGGGACGAUAAUGACGGUACCGGAAGAAUAAGCCCCGGCUAACUUCGUG
rnacentral:rRNA from 1 species